CUUAUAGGUGCAUCUAAAAAAAAUUUGAUCAUUGUGAUAGAGUCAGAUUUAUUCUAAGCUUUUUGCAUGGAAACUAAAAUGGUUUAAGUUAUUUUUUGCUAUUUUAAUUUGAUAGUUAUGGCCUGAAAAUGAAAAAAAAAAUAAUCCAAGUUUGAGAAUAUUUAAAGUCCAAAUUACUAUUUGAAAAGUAUAAAUAAAGUGUUUUAGUCCAAUCAGUACCAACAACCACUAUCAUAAGGAAGACUGCUGACCUGUCAUCCAUCCGGUGGACAAUGAUCAGCAUAGUCCUUACUGAAAGGGUUGGCUUUUUGCAGAGUUCUGCAAAGUCAAAGAGAGUAACUUUGUGGAGUCAGUGCACCAAGAGCAAACCACCUCCAGAAAUCUUCAAGAAGACUGUCAGACCACUCCUGAUCAAGAGACAAAGUCAGAAACAACCUGAGCUGAAGUGAGAAAGAACUGGACUGUUGCUCAGUGGGGCAGAAUCCUUUUUUUUUCCCCAGAGAGAGAAGUUUGACAUUUGAGAUGGAAGUCAAGGUCCCUGAAUCUGAGGUGUGUUAAGCGCAAAGCGAAGUCUGUGAUGAUUUCAGGUGCUGGGUCACCUGCUGGUGUUGGUUAAGCGUUUCAUCAAGUCCAAAGUCAAUACGACCAUCUACCAAGAAAUUUUAUGGCCACUUCCAUCUGUUUACAAACAUUAUGGUGAUGCCAAUUUCCUUUUCAAGAUUCAUGCUGCAUUGGAGU